CCUACGGGAGGCAGCAGUGAGGAAUAUUGCUCAAUGGACGAAAGUCUGAACCAGCCAAGUAGCGUGAAGGAUGACUGCCCUAUGGGUUGUAAACUUCUUUUAUAUGGGACUAAAAUGUUCCACGUGUGGGAUUUUGUAUGUACCAUAUGAAUAAGGAUCGGCUAACUCCGUGCCAGCAGCAGCGGUAAUACGGAGGCUGCGAGCGUUAUCCGGAUGUAUUGGGUUUAAAGGGAGCGUAGGUGGAUUGUUAAGUCAGUUGUGAAAGUUUGCGGCUCAACCGUAAAAUUGCAGUGGAGACUGGCAGGCUAGAGUACAGUAGAGGUAGGCGGAAUGCGUGGUGGAGCGGUGAAAUGCUUAGAUAUCACGAAGAACGCCGAUGGCGAAGGCAGCUUACUGGACUGCAACUGACACUGAGGCUCGAAAGUGUGGGUAUCAAACAGGAUUAGAUACCCCAGUAGUC
rnacentral:rRNA from 1 species